rnacentral:lncRNA from 1 species
GCACAGGUCACACCGUGUGGCAAAUUCCGCGCGGGGCGGGGUAGUCUCGCGUGUGUGAAGCCUGCGUGUAUGCACCGUGUGUGUGCCUGUGUGCACUGUGCGUGCACUGUGUGUGUGGACCAUGUAUGUGCACGUGUGCACCGCGUGUGUGCACCCGUUGGAAACCUGGUGCUGAAACACGGCAGGGCUUAGGCUGGAGUCCUACCUUCAUCGUUUUCACUCGUCCUGUUUCAUCGGUGUCCUAGAACCCAGGCAUCGCUUGAGCACGCCCCUUCUCUACCCCUUCCUCCUGGUCUCCCAUCCCGGAAGCUGAGUGUCCUGUCCUGUUCUGGGUGCCGGCGAUGGAACCCGGGCCUCUUGCAUGCUGGCCACACGCUGGACCCUGAGCUGAGCUGCACCCCAGCCCUGGGCGGGUGUCUUGAGAACGCAGCACCCGGAGUCGGAAGGUAUGAGCUCACCGUGCUUCCUCCCAGCCCCCAUCCUCCUGGGUGCUGUUGGGACCGGGAACCCUGAGUGACAGCCCAGCCCUGCCUCUGGCACCGCGCCCUAACCCUAACUCCUAACCUGCACUGUGUCCUCCCCGCUUCCCUGUGGGGAACCGGCUGGCUGUGUAAGAGGGGAAGGCCAGUGGGAGGCGGACUGAAUGCUUUUUUUUUUUUUUUUAACAGCUCUGCUGUGUUGUAUUAACUCCUUAUCCUUGUACUGGAAACUGGUAGGAGUUCAGGGUUUUUGUUUUGUUUUUUUAAUCUGUCAAGGAAAAUACCAGCUUGAAAUAUGACAUGACUAGAAUAGCCUUAGCCUUCACUGGAUGAUUUCAAAUGUUUAUAUUCAGAUAGCAAACAAAGUAAUAACAUAGGCAAAAUAUUGGAAACAUUUGUAAUCACUCCAGUGAAUUGUCUGCUUCUCAUUGCUUGGAGAACAAUUCCGCUUUCCUUUUAAUAAUAACAGCCACAACCGGACUGGGGAUGUAGCUCAGUGGCAUAGCGCCUGCCUGGCAAGCGCAAGGCCCUAAGUUCAGUUCCAGUACCAAAAAAACACCCCACCUCAACCACAGCAGUAACUAUCAUUGAAUGUUACAAAAGCAAGAGUUUGUAUCCCUGACAUCAUUUGACUCUCCCUGCCAACCCAAGAUGUAGGUAUUGUUACCUGCAUUUUUAUAGUACAGAUAGGAAACCAAGCAGAGGG